CCUACGGGAGGCAGCAGUGAGGAAUAUUGGUCAAUGGGCGCAAGCCUGAACCAGCCAAGUCGCGUGAGGGAUGACGGUCCUAUGGAUUGUAAACCUCUUUUGUCGGGGAGCAAGGCCCGCCACGUGUGGCGGGAAGGAGAGUACCCGAAGAAAAAGCAUCGGCUAACUCCGGGCCAGCAGCCGCGGUAAUACGGAGGAUGCGAGCGUUAUCCGGAUUUAGUGGGUUAAAAGGGUGCGUAGGCGGAAGGUUAAGGUAGUGGUAAAAUGUCGGUGCUCAACACCGGCCUGCCGUUGAAACUGGUCUGCUUGAGUGAGCGAGAAGUAUGCGGAAUGCGUGGUGUAGCGGUGAAAUGCAUAGAUAUCACGCAGAACUCCGAUUGCGAAGGCAGCAUACCGGCGCUCAACUGACGCUGAGGCACGAAAGCGUGGGGAUCGAACAGGAUUAGAUACCCGGGUAGUC
rnacentral:rRNA from 1 species